rnacentral:lncRNA from 1 species
CUCAACAUAAUACUUGUCACUAUGCAUUAUUAGAAUUUGCUUAAUUUGGAACUCUCGCAGCAUCCCAUUUUGUGGCACUAUGCAUAAUAUGAAGAUCAAGUUAAGAGGGGCACAAUAUUGCCCUUUCUGUUUAUACUAACCAUGAAAAGGAUGCAGGUAUCAUUUGUAUAUACAUUUAGACUGAAUUUUGGUAUAAUCACAUAAAAUAGUAUAAUCACAGAAGUUUCCUUGUGAUUGUAUAAUCACAGAAAAUAGUCUCCUAAAAUAUAAACAAUGGGGACAACUACCAACAUAUAAUAAACACAUGAGAAAUCCUUGAAUACAGUAUCUUUGGACCAUAAGAAUACGUAGCGUGGAGCAUUCCAACUAACCUUCUUUAUCUUGUCGCGUUCUAUGAGCAUUCAGAUAUAGCAGAAGGCAAAUGCAAUCAGGAAAUCCCUUGUAAGCAGCCCUACAGUCAUGAUCAGUCAUCAAUGAAAUUAACAAACUAAAUUUAGCAAAUUAAAGCCACUUUAGAAGUCUAACAAGAAAGAAAGAGAAAUAACAUGCCAAAGACAGCAGCUGCAAGCCCUCAACUAAGACAGAACAUAGGAUAGUUCCCUUAUGAACUUAAACUUAAAAUAAUAAUUGCAUUUCAAUACAAAGUUUUCUAAUAAAAUCAGAGAAAGAAAGAAAUACCUUUGCCAGUUGCAGUGUAAGCAGAUAUUUGGUCUAUAAAAUUUGGAUUCUUUUAUGUUGCUUCGUGCAUAUAUUUAGCAAACAGUUGGAGAGCUACUUUUACUUCGUUUAACACUCAACACAAUUUAACUGAGUGUUAAAGUUUCUCUUACACUACAACAAAACUCAAUGCAUGUGUUCUAUCAAAAGUCACCACGAACAUGGCCCAUGUAUAUAAGGAAGUAAAUGAUAGAAUUGAUUUCUGAAAAGAACAUUAAAGAAGAAUAAAAGUAGCAGAUAUGCCAAACUUGCAAUGACCAAGUGAUAAAUAUCUUGACCACAAGUGAAAAGGGAGACCAAAUCAAAAUACUAGAACAGGGAGCACAUAUCUAUAAUUAUCUAAGAGAAUCCAAACUACUAAUACCAACAUAAAUGAUAAUGGUCCCCAGAAAACAUAUCCAAUAGAUCAUAAAAUUGAAACAUCAACCUUGCUUCCAUACAAAACUAAUACUUCCUCACCUAAAUGCAACAUAGUAUUCAGACAGCAACUGAUUUCACAUUUCUUGACAAUUUUAAUAUUAAUUUCUUGGCUACCAUACUAGCUAUCAUGAUCACAUUCAAACACUUUGAUGAGAAAUAUAGAAUUUGGCUUUCUAAAUUUGAAUAAAGCCUUACAAUUUCAUGACUUAGCAGAACUUCAACACAUAAGCUAUGCUUUCUAUUAGCAAAUGUAUAAACUCAUGUUUUUUCUAGAUAAGGAUAUCGAAGAAUGAAACAAACAUAAAAUUCCAGAGCAAAAGCACAAGUGAAAUGAAAUAUCAUUUGAUUUCAAAAUAGAUAGUAGCAACAAUCUCAAUGAGUUGGACAACUGAAAAGACAGCAGCAGCAACUAGACUCAGCCAUAUCACAACUCUCAAUUGACAAUAGGGAAGAGCAAAAUCUCCAAUCAGUCAUGCAAAGUGCCCAAUAUAUCUUCAUCUCUGUACAAAUGAUACCUGCAUCCCACCCCACCAAAAUUCAGUCAAAAUGUAUAUACAGACUUACUUGAAGAGGAUGCUGCAACGGGGUCAGGGAAGGACCGGCGACGGCUGAGGAUGAGGCCGGAGGGCCGAGGCGGUGGUGGCGAUUGGAGGCUGGGACAGAAAUUGAACGGAAUGAGCCAUAUUUGAACUUUAAGCAACAGAAAUUGUAAAUAGGCUGCGGCGAAACAGAAAUUGAACGGAAUAAGCCAUACCUCUAACUUCUGCCGAAACAGAAUAGGCAGCGGCGGCGGCGGCGGCGGCGGAGGGGCGCUUUCGGUUCUUCUUCUCGUAGAUCCCCUGGCCUUGAAUUGUAGAUUGCAGACGUUGCAGAGGUAGAGGCUGACGGCGCGGGCUGCGAAGGUGUUCCUCAGCGGCAAUAGCCGGUGGAAGCGGAGGACGGUGAACGGUGAAGGCAGUGGACGGCGGUGGGGUGGCUGGAGGCGGUAGGGUUCACCGUUAAUUUAGGCAUUUAGAAUUUUAUGGAAAAAGAAGGGGAGAGAAGGGAGAAAGAAAUCUGGCGCUGAAAAGCCUGAAAUUAAAUUUUGAGACGGAAUAAAUCCGUCGUUAGAUUUUAAUUUAAUUAUUAAAAAUUUUAAAUUAAUCUUUGAGACGGAAAUAAUCUGUCGUUAAUUUUUUUAUUAUUAUUAUUAAUUCUAAAAUAAAUUUUGAGACGGAAGUUAUCUGUCGUUAACUUUUAAAUUUAUUAUUAUUAAUUCUAAAUUAAAAUUUAAGACGGAAAAUAUCCGUCUUUAGAAUUUUGAGACGGAAAUUCCGUCUUAAAUUCCGUCUCAAAAGCAGACCCGACCGAACCCAUAUUUCUGUCGUAAAAUCCGUCGUACG